UGGGCAGGAAAUGACUUUAUCACUCUAUCACUGAGGGAAUUUCUUGUUGCCUUCCUGCCUCUGUCCACCAGGAUUUUGGUUUCCCCAGUGCUGUGGUAGUGGAUCAAGCUGUUCCUCACCCCCACACCCCCAGUCUCCCAUUGGGGCUGUUUGGAGACCUGUUUGGGUCCUUUAGACCCGAGGUUCUGCCCUUUUUGAAGCCAGCCCCUUGGGAGUGGCAUGGGUACUCUCCCAGGGCUCUUUCUCUACCCCUGUAUACUCUGCCGUGUGAGGAGUGUGAUGGCUGCUUUUGGGUUGCCCUGGGGGCUGAGGUCACAGGAUGCCCUUCUGGCUGAUUUUCCUGUUGGAGUCAUCUAGAUGCCAAGACUGUGUAUUCCCAGACCUGCUACAUCCAAACCUCAUCUAGUAUACAGCCAUUUUUGCCACUGACCAGGAGGUACCACACAACUGGUGUCAACCCGGAUUAGUCCUAUCUUCCUUUGCUGUGAUAAAAACAACUGCCUAAGACACGAGUUAAAGGGAGAAAUGAAUUGUUCUUCCAGCUUGCACUCAUCAUCUUUAGCUCUCAGUUUGUGGAGAAGCACAACAUUGUAGCAGGGAGCUUGCAGCACAAAGGAGCUCACCUCAUAGUAGCCAAUUGGGAAGCUGAGGGGAGCAGGUUGAGGGGGGAACAGGCAGGAAGGGGUCAGGAAGAGCAAUCACCCUUCUAGGGCAGGCCUUCAGCUUUCUUCCUCCAACCAGGCCCACCUUCAGCCCUGUGUCUAUUAAGAAAUGAAUCCAUUGCUUAUCAGAACCUUCAGGAUUCAGUCACUUCACCAAAGCUGAUGAUCCUGCCCACAGAAGGCUUUGUGCUUAGGCUGUCCACAGGGAGCCUACAGAGCUCCAGAGCGAGGCAGGACACAGCAGCAGGUGGAGACGUUCUCUUUGACGGAUGGCUGUUACUGAUGACACUGGUGUAAUCAUUUCUAUUCCAACUAAUGGACCUUUCGGGAAAUGAGGCCUAGGACUAUGUAUUUGCAAAGCUUACUGUUGAGUCUUAAAAUCAGGUGGAGAAAAUGAGAGAUGUGGCUGUGUAUCUCCAGGCCUCCGAUCACCAAGGCGCUGAAGCCGAGUAGGGAAUAGAAUCUUGUUCCAACAAGAUUCUAAGGGACAGUGAGCAGAGAGGGCAGGCCUGGCUUCCCCACUGUCUGGCAAGUCCCCCAGAUUCCCAAAGCCAUUCCCACCUCACUUUCUUCAUUUAUAAAGUGAAAAUACUCACACUACA